rnacentral:rRNA from 1 species
GUCGAGGGGUAACAGGGAAGCUUGCUUCCGCUGACGACCGGCGCACGGGUGCGUAACGCGUAUACAAUCUGCCCUUAACUGGAGGAUAGCCACUGGAAACAGUGAUUAAUACUCCAUAACACUGCACGAUCGCAUGAGAGAGCAGUUAAAGAAUUUCGGUUAAGGAUGAGUAUGCGUGACAUUAGCUAGUUGGUGAGGUAACGGCUCACCAAGGCAACGAUGUCUAGGGGUUCUGAGAGGAUGAUCCCCCACACUGGUACUGAGACACGGACCAGACUCCUACGGGAGGCAGCAGUAGGGAAUAUUGGGCAAUGGAGGCAACUCUGACCCAGCCAUGCCGCGUGCAGGAUGAAGGCGUUCUGCGUUGUAAACUGCUUUUAUAUGGGAAGAAAAAGGUCUUGCGAGACAAACUGACGGUACCAUAUGAAUAAGCACCGGCUAACUCCGUGCCAGCAGCCGCGGUAAUACGGAGGGUGCAAGCGUUAUCCGGAUUUAUUGGGUUUAAAGGGUGCGCAGGCGGCCUAUUAAGUCAGUGGUGAAAUCUUACAGCUUAACUGUGAAAGUGCCAUUGAUACUGGUAGGCUUGAGUGCGGUGAAGGUAGGCGGAAUUCCUCAUGUAGCGGUGAAAUGCAU